GGUCACAAUUUUUAGGCCAUAUAUUACAAAUUGAUCAAUUAUUAAUCACAAUUAACCAAAUAAUUAGUCACGAGCAUCCAACACAAUUUCUUCCCACCGACAACCAACGCUACAACCACCAUCACUAUCACCAUUAUUGCCACCACCACUGCAAAACAAUACAAAACUGUCGUCGGUUUGCCACUACAGUGACCACCAUCACCACUGAAGCCAACACCACCACCAUCAACGUCACGGGCAGCAACACUACCUCCUGUACUAAAAAUCACAACUCCUAUCUCAAUCACACUACAAUCACCACAUUUAAUAAAAAAUGUCUAAAUCUGAUGCUGUCGCCGCCGCCACUUCAUCACUACCACUGCCUUAUAAACAAUAAUCACCACGACCUCCUCAAAUUCACGACAGAAAGCAGUCCAAUAGUAACGUUGUUGCCUCACCUCUGUGCGCAGUGGCAGUGGGCCUCAACUAAACCGGUAGAUCUCUUGCAACGCUUAUCGUCGUCUCUCUAGCAGUGCUCGUCGCUGCACACUAAUUGAGCCACUGACCGCUUGUUCGACAACGACGAGCGCUUGUAGGGACGGUCGACGCAAGUCCAUGGCCAGCUGUCGAAGUUUGAAUUGAUGAAAGGAGAGAGGAAGAAAAAAGGAUGAGCAGGCAUAUAGAGAGGGAGAGGAAAAUGAAAAUAAAUUAGGGUUGGAUAAAAUUUGUAUUAUAUUAUUUAAUAAUUAAAAUAUCUUAUUUUUGAACAAUGAAAAACCUUCGCUAUGAUUUUAGAAUAUUGAUCUUGAAAAGUAGGUGAGGAUGUAAUUUCCACAAAUAAUAAUAAUAAUUAAAUUUGCAUUUGAAUUUUAGCCCUCAUUUGAUAACAAUUUUUCACCCCAAAAAAAUUGAUUUUUUUUUUUAAUCUCUAUUUCACUAUUUCUAACAUUCAUUUUUACUCCUUCACUUAUAGAUGGAACCCACUUUUCUCUCUAACGGUUAAAAAAUCAAUUCUCAUACUCACUACCAAACAGGUCCUUAAAAAAUUGAUUGCAUCAACAUAAUUUCUCCACUGGCUCGAUCUUUGGCAGAUUUUUAUGGCACGAUUUGUCCAUUUUUAUACCCCUAUCUAAGACAAAUAUUUUACCCGCCAAGUAAUCAACCCCGAAAACUAAUUGAAGUUCAGAAAAUUCUACUCGUACAUAAUUAUUGCACAUAAUGAUGUCCAUAAUGUGAUGUAGCAAUCAUUUAAUUGUUGAUGUACAAGUGUGAAAUUUGAAUUAAAGAUUGGAUCUGAUACCACGUAUAAUUAUGAACACCAUUAUGUAGACAAUUAUGUACAUAUAGCACUUCCCUUAAAGUUUUGAGUCACAAUACCACCUCCAACAAAAUUGAAACCUCAUACAUAGAUGGCCAAAAAAUAAAAAAAUUCAAAUCUCACAUACAUACCUUAAGACUCUGUAAAACUUGGCCACUUCGCAGAUUCGAAAAUGGAUUCGAAAAUAAAAAAAUUCCAAGACUUGCUCAAAAAUUUCCAGUUAUCACUUUGAAUGAGUAAUUAAAAAAGGGUCAAUUUGGCAGAAAUUAAAAUUAAAAUUUUAAUAAUUUAAGUUAAAGUUAAUAGUUAAAUUUUACCAUACAUUUUAUGGGAUCACAACUGCUCAAUCUACGUUUCAUCAACUUUUAUCAAAAUCUACUAAAAAUUUAAUUUUAAUAUCUACCAAACAGAAACUACGUUAAAUAGACAAUAAUUAGUUGAAACUUGGUAAGGGAAUAGAAUAAGAUAUACAAGAUUAACUUGGUGUGGGGUGCAAGUGAUAUUCUAAGGUCAACAAACCUGGUUGGAUUUUGUAAUAACACGAACAAGAAUAUAUAACUAAAUGCAAAUUAGGUCCUCUCCAUCAAUCAGGCUUGCCUCUCUGGCUCUCUUCCUUCUUUUGGCCAGUGGAUUCUCCUUGAACGGUUAGUUGGGAUCAUUUUUAUUAUUAUUCAUUUUACAUAAGAAAAUGUAAUACUUUAAAACCGAUAAUAUGUUUCAAAAUUCAUGAAGAAUUUGUGAAAUUUCUAGCUGGUUGUGUUAUUUUGUAGAAUUGUGAGCUAGUCUUGAGUACAAACAAAUUCGAAGAUGCUGAAGAACUGAUUCAGAAACUUAACCAAAUGAAAUAUCAAAUUAAUUUAGAGUUAAGGAAGAGAAAGGUGAGAAUCAAGAAUCAAUUUCAUUGUCUUUUCUCGUUUUUAUUCUGCUAGAAUGAUUUUUUUAUGAAAUUUCUUGUUCCUGAAUCAUCAAUGAUGUUACCAGGUAGCAAAUAUAACUGGGAUAGAGUCACCCAUCUAGUGCACGGGGAAAAACACCGACUCCAUUACUUGCAAAAGAGAAUAAUAGAAGGGUAUGAUCAAAUCAUAUACCUUUUCAGUAUUAUAUUUUGUUCCUUUCCCCUCGUUGGUUUCUGAAUCAUAAAGCUGGAAACAGAUUCAACAAUUGUGUCAUCGUGUGCAACGUGGCAAUAACAAUUUAGCAGAGGAGAGGAGAAUACUGAAAAAAAUUAAGCAUGCUAAAGAACAAGAAAAGGCUUUUUCCGAUGUAGAUAUAAAACCAAGAAAGGACUAUUGCCGGUGCUUAAACAUUCCCGACUCAGAAGAAGAAGAAGAAGUUAAAGAUCAAAUUAAUGCAAGUAUUUGCCUAACAUCAUCCUUGUAGAAUUUUUAAACUUCGGUCAAUUGAUGUAAUAUUCUUUUCUUUUAGCUGCCUAAUUUAAUGCAGCUCGUACUCAGUGUAUUCCAAGAGUUGAAGAACAAACAAAAGCCAGUUGUUUUCUACGAGGAAAAUCUUAGGAAAGAGUCGGAGGAAGCCAAAAAGGAUAUUUCUUUCUUCCGAAAACAGUUGGAAGGCAUAGACAAGAAGAAACAUGAACUCUAUGAGUACAUUCUUGAUCUCAGAAAGCAAAGAGGAGGAAUUUCAGAUAUUUACUGAGAAUUCUCUGCUAAAAAAAUCUCCCACAAGGACCUAUUUAAACCACAUUUUUUCCCCGGAAUUCAUUUUGAAAUAGUGUUUCAAUGAUAAUGUGUAUUUAAAGGAUUUAAAAAAAAAAAUUUUGAACUUGCAUUUAAUGAAGAAUGAAUAGUUAAAAAUAAAAGAGAAAGAAACUAAUGAAAACCAAACAAUGGCUUCAAGGUUUGGUAAGCUGGACUAACUAAUUGUUGUGAAGUUUGCAAUGCUGAGAUUUUAUAUAUGGGGUUAAAUUCACACGGGCCACUCAGCAAUAUACUUAACGUUAUCAUGAUCACCUAAUUUGAUUUUAUUUCACGAUGACUACUAAUUUUAUACUUAGUGUCACUAUGUCUACCUAAUUUCAUAUAACGUUUUGAUGAAAUAAAAUCAAAUUGAGACAAUAAAUAUAAAGUUCAUCGGCCACAAUGAAACCAAAACAAAUUGUAUGGCUAUGAUGAAACUAAGAGCUUGUUUGGCACAGUUAAAAAGUCAGUUAUAAUCAAUUUUUUUUUAUCGUUAUCUCACUAUUACGACCAUCAUUUUUGAAUUCUUCUCUCACGCAUGGGACCCACUUUAUUUCCAACGGUCUAAAAAUCAAUUAUCCCGGGUGAGUAAAAAAAAAAUAUUUUCCCCCUAUAUGUAUUAUGUCAACCACAUGUUUCGUCUAGCAUGGUUCUUUAUAUAAUUUCAUUUUACAUUAGACAAAUUAUAGGUAUCCUACAGUACUGUCCCGUCAAAAAUAAAAAGUUCAGCAGGAUACAAUUGUCAUUUUUGAAAAGGCUAGGGACCCAAUUGCAAUAUUCCCAA
rnacentral:lncRNA from 1 species